GUUUGUGCGUGAAUGAUGGUAUGAAUUUUGUAGUUUUCACAGUGGCAGCAGUGAACCAAACACACUCACUUAUAUCUCCCCUUCAGCUGUCUGGGUGUGUGUUUGCCUUCUCAAAGGCCUUUCUUCUGCACAGAGUGUACGUGUUGUCAUGCCGACCUCCUGACCUUGACAUAUGGUCCCGUAGCGCCCGUCACCGUCCUACCACUGUCAGACAGACAGCUGCAUGUGAGAGAACUUCUGGAAGCUGAGAGGAGAUGUUGCUGUGCGUGGCGUAGUACGACACGGUGAUGGGCAGCAUGUGACGAAUGUCCGGGGCGGGCUGCGACGACAGGAUGAGCUCCAUAGAGUCCCUCACCACCCAGAAGGGGUCCUCAGGCAUCUGGUGCUCAUAGAAGAUCACUCCUGACUCCAGCUAAGGACGAGGAGAGACAGCAUUGAAAACAUACAGAUUUUGACAUCUUACCUGGGAACACCAUCAGCUCCUCUUGUGUUACCAUGGUGAUGGUGAGGGGCCUGGCCGUGACCACGAAUCUGUAGAGAGGAGACGUGUGCUCGCCGUCUGUCACCGUGAAGCUGAAUCCGCCUGACUCCUCACCUGCAGACGCACAGAGUGGACUUUUAAAGACAUUUAUUUGCAGCGUACUGACAGUAUCAGGACUUGUCAUUCACAUGACCGUGUUGACUCUCAGGUGUGUCUGUGUCCUCCUCACCCUCGUGGAUGAAGAUGACCUCCCCCUUGUUGAUUUGAGCCUGUGUGAAAUUGGCAAUGGCUUCCUCCGGGAACUCCUUGAACGCCACCAUGCCGCUGGUUGGCGUCUCUACAUUGUAAACCAACUCCUCUGCGGGGGUGUCGGCGUCGUCCGUGGUUAGCAUGCUGGAUGUGAUGUCGGCCUCCUCGCCAGCGAGUAGCUGGGAGAAAACAAGAUGGUGGAGAUGUGAUGGAUGCACCAAGCGGCCAGGACAUUAGGUACCCCUUACAUUACAUUUUUUUUUGUUAUCUUAGAGGGUCUUACAAUAUUUUAAUAAUUGUGGCUGUAGUUUGGACCGCAUCAUCACCCAGAGCUGGUUCUAAUAUUUUGGCACUAAUUUAGCUAGUUAACAAGAAUACCAACCGUUCAGUAUGACAUUUUUGGCAUAGCAGCUGUCUAAAACAUGAUUGUUCGCAUGCUUCUUGGUUACAUCACUUGUUGCUAGGCAGAAUUUGUGGCUCACAUUGAUUGGUGCACCAAAGAAGAGUGAUUAAAGCAAAUGGCUGCAUGCCAUUCACGCUUGCUAUACUCCUUGGCAGCUUAGCAAAGAAAGGACAGGGAGGGUCGGCUGAUACAGUUGCACUAACUAUUCAGUGUCUUAUACUGUAUGUUUAUUUUUAUACUGCUCUAUUUUUACACUCAACUUUUCUUUAACUUUAUAUGUUUUGCAUUUUUAUUGGGCGGCAGUGGCUCAGGAGGUAGAGCAGGUUGGCAAGAAACUGGAAAGUUGGCGGUUCAUUCCUCGCUCCUUGUUGUGUCCCUGGGCAAGGCACUUCACCCACCUUGCCUGCAGUGCUGCCCACAGUUGUGUAUGCAUGUGAAUGAAUAUUUGGUGGUGGUCGGAGGGGCUGUAGGCUCGAUUUAGCAGCCACGUUUCCGUCAGUCUACCCCAGGGCAGCUGUGACUACAGAUGAAUAAUGGGUUCGCUUCACUGUGAAGCACUUUGGGUACCUUAUAGAAAACCUAAUCCAUUAUUAUUAUUUAUACCCAUGAAUGAAUCACUACUCUGCAUUUGUUGUUAUUGGAAUGAAUGCAAUAAAAAGGCCGAAAACAAGUUAAUUAAAUAAAACAUCAGAACUGUUUUGGAGACUAAACCUGUAGAUUACCGCAGCCAAUCAAGUUUUCUAUCACAUUCCUGAAAAGAGCCACAGCAACAACAACAAAACAGCACGUUUUUAAUCUCCAGGAAAAAAAAAUAAAAAAUCAUUCCUGCUAGACGGAGCAAAAAAAAUCAAUGCUUCCC